rnacentral:rRNA from 1 species
UGCCAGCAGCCGCGGUAAUACGAAGGGGCGAACGAUGCUCGGAUUUACUGGGCGUAAAGCGACCGCAGGCGGUCCUUUAAGCCAGAUGUGAAAGCCCAGCGCUUAACGUUGGAAUAGCAUUUGGAACUGAAGGACUAGAGUAUGUGAGAGGAAGGCGGAAUUCCCAGUGUAGAGGUGAAAUUCGUAGAUAUUGGGAGGAACACCAAAAGCGAAGGCAGCUUUCUGGCACAUUACUGACGCUCAGGGUCGAAAGCGUGGGGAGCAAACAGGAUUAGAUA